GAUGAACGCUGGCGGCGUGCUUAACACAUGCAAGUCGAACGAAGCACCUUAUUCUGAUUUCUUCGGAAUGAAAAAUUUGGUGACUGAGUGGCGGACGGGUGAGUAACGCGUGGGUAACCUGCCUCAUACAGGGGGAUAACAGUUAGAAAUGACUGCUAAUACCGCAUAAGACCACAGCACCGCUAGGUGCAGGGGUAAAAACUCCGGUGGUAUGAGAUGGACCCGCGUCUGAUAGGUAGCUGGUGGGGUAACGGCCUACCAAGCCGACGAUCAGUAGCCGACCUGAGAGGGUGACCGGCCACAUUGGGACUGAGACACGGCCCAAACUCCUACGGGAGGCAGCAGUGGGGAAUAUUGCACAAUGGGGGAAACCCUGAUGCAGCGACGCCGCGUGAGCGAUGAAGUAUUUCGGUAUGUAAAGCUCUAUCAGCAGGGAAGAAAAUGACGGUACCUGACUAAGAAGCACCGGCUAAAUACGUGCCAGCCGCCGCCGUAA
rnacentral:rRNA from 1 species